GAUGAACGCUGGCGGCGUGCCUAAUACAUGCAAGUCGAGCGAACGGACGAGAAGCUUGCUUCUCUGAUGUUAGCGGCGGACGGGUGAGUAACACGUGGAUAACCUACCUAUAAGACUGGGAUAACUUCGGGAAACCGGAGCUAAUACCGGAUAAUAUUUUGAACCGCAUGGUUCAAAAGUGAAAGACGGUCUUGCUGUCACUUAUAGAUGGAUCCGCGCUGCAUUAGCUAGUUGGUAAGGUAACGGCUUACCAAGGCAACGAUGCAUAGCCGACCUGAGAGGGUGAUCGGCCACACUGGAACUGAGACACGGUCCAGACUCCUACGGGAGGCAGCAGUAGGGAAUCUUCCGCAAUGGGCGAAAGCAUGACGGAGCAACGCCGCGUGAGUGAUGAAGGUCUUCGGAUCGUAAAACUCUGUUAUUAGGGAAGAACAUAUGUGUAAGUAACUGUGCACAUCUUGACGGUACCUAAUCAGAAAGCCACGGCUAACUACGUG
rnacentral:rRNA from 1 species